rnacentral:misc_RNA from 1 species
CAGAGUUCAUGCCCUACACAGGUAGAUCUCCUACCCUUUGUUAUUAUUACCUUCGUUGCUUUGGCGGGCCAUCAGGCCUCGGUCAGGCUACCGGCUCCAGCUGGUAAGCGCCCGCCAGAGGGCCCCAAACUCUGAAUAUUAGUGUCGUCUAAGUACUAUAUAAAUAGUUA